UACGUAGGGUGCAAGCGUUGUCCGGAAUUAUUGGGCGUAAAGAGCUCGUAGGCGGUCUGUCACGUCGACUGUGAAAUCCCGAGGCUCAACCUCGGGCCUGCAGUCGAUACGGGCAGACUAGAGUUCGGUAGGGGAGACUGGAAUUCCUGGUGUAGCGGUGAAAUGCGCAGAUAUCAGGAGGAACACCGGUGGCGAAGGCGGGUCUCUGGGCAACUACUGACGCUGAGGAGCGAAAGCGUGGGGAGCGAACAGG
rnacentral:rRNA from 1 species